ensembl:rRNA 5S_rRNA 5S ribosomal RNA
ACAGCCAUAUCACCCUGCAGCCCAAGACUGGUUGCCCAUUGAAGCUAAGCAGGGUUGAGCCUGGUCAGUACCUGGGUGGGAGACCUCCUGGGAAAACUAGGUUGCUGUUUGAA